GAGAGAGGGAGAGAGUUCUUCCCCAAAAUGAGUUAGGUUCUUCUUUUCUGUAGUGACCCUAAAAAUGCUUUGUUGAUCUUGCCUCUCUUGUCCAUGACAUUUUGUGGUACCAGUUUUCCAGAUGUCGCUUCCUCUUUAGAAACAGUAGAAUUCACCACCCACGUCUAUUCCUUCUAUUAGAAGACAAAAUAGCAUAAUCUUUAAGAACAUGGCUCCUUAGGGAAGAUUCCCUAGGUUUGUUCACUUUUUAUUAGUGGUGUAGUCUUUGACAAGCCACUCUGACUGAGCCUUAAUAUUGUCAUCUAUAAAAAUUACUAUCUCAAUAGCACCCACCCUACAGAUCGUGGUGAUUAAAUGGCCAUAAUCCAUAAGAAGCAGAUGCAGCAAAGAGAGAACCUAAUCUGGCCUGAGUAUAUGGAGAACAGGGUGGAAGCGUCAGCAGAUAAAGCUCUACACUGAUUCUUCCGUAUUUGAGGAGUUUCCCCCUUUAACAUGACUACUUGGGGUUCAGCGUAUGCUGCCCAUCAGGAAAAGUACUUUCUUUAGAGACUUGCAUGACUUUCUUUAAAGGUCCGCCUGACUUCACACAUUCUUAACUUCUAUGUUAAUCACCUGUGUCCGGGGUAGAUAUAUAGGUGGAAAUUUAGAGGUACGUUUACGGAUGUCUAUUUACUCUACUUCCUGUUGGGUGUUCUGACAGGCUGUCUGUGCCCUGCCCCAUCGCCUAGAGCUCUUUAAUUACACAGGGACUGCCAACCACCACAGAGCUUUCAUUGACUUGAGAUCGUUCUGCUUGUCCAGGGCAAGCUCGAAUUGCUGCAGAAUUGAUAAAUGACCUGCCACUUCCCUGGAGCCUUCGAUUCGAGGCUGACAAGAGUUGGUGUGCACAUUCCCUCGUUCUCUUCCACUUGUCGGAGUUAUGCGGGAUAGCCCUGAAACAGGAUCCUCGCUAACCCAGAGUUCCUCAGUGGGAUCAUACUCCAGUUACCCAUCAUGGUAACCGAACUGUUUGCUGAACUUCCUUUCUCCUUCAUACCUUCAUAUGAGUGGCAUCAUGAUGUGGAUCUCAAGUAGGAAUGACUUUGGUCCCCAGAGGAUAUUUGGCAAUUUCUGGGGGAAUUCAGUUCAUUUGCAGCACCGAUCCGGGGGACUUGAUGCAAAGAGAGAAAUCUGUAUCUCCGUCUUCCAAUAUGGCAGCCGCUAAACCCACGUGGCUCUUGAGCAUUUCAAACCGAAGAACUGAAGUUUUCAUUUUAUGAAGCUUUCGUUA